AUUGAACGCUGGCGGCAGGCCUAACACAUGCAAGUCGAGCGGAUGAAGGGAGCUUGCUCCUGGAUUCAGCGGCGGACGGGUGAGUAAUGCCUAGGAAUCUGCCUGGUAGUGGGGGAUAACGUCCGGAAACCGGCGCUAAUACCGCAUACGUCCUGCGGGAGAAAGUGGGGGAUCUUCGGACCUCACGCUAUCAGAUGAGCCUAGGUCGGAUUAGCUAGUUGGUGGGGUAAAGGCCUACCAAGGCGACGAUCCGUAACUGGUCUGAGAGGAUGAUCAGUCACACUGGAACUGAGACACGGUCCAGACUCCUACGGGAGGCAGCAGUGGGGAAUAUUGGACGAUGGGCGAAAGCCUGAUCCAGCCAGGCCGCGUGUGUGAAGAAGGUCUUCGGAUUGUAAAGCACUUUAAGUUGGGAGGAAGGGCAGUAAGUUAAUACCUUGCUGUUUUGACGUUACCAACAGAAUAAGCACCGGCUAACUUCGUG
rnacentral:rRNA from 1 species